UAGGGAAUCUUCCGCAAUGGGCGAAAGCCUGACGGAGCAACGCCGCGUGAGUGAUGAAGGUCUUCGGAUCGUAAAACUCUGUUAUUAGGGAAGAACAAAUGUGUAAGUAACUAUGCACGUCUUGACGGUACCUAAUCAGAAAGCCACGGCUAACUACGUGCCAGCAGCCGCGGUAAUACGUAGGUGGCAAGCGUUAUCCGGAAUUAUUGGGCGUAAAGCGCGCGUAGGCGGUUUUUUAAGUCUGAUGUGAAAGCCCACGGCUCAACCGUGGAGGGUCAUUGGAAACUGGAAAACUUGAGUGCAGAAGAGGAAAGUGAAUUCCAUGUGUAGCGGUGAAAUGCGCAGAGAUAUGGAGGAACACCAGUGGCGAAGGCGACUUUCUGGUCUGUAACUGACGCUGAUGUGCGAAAGCGGGGGGAUCAAACAGG
rnacentral:rRNA from 1 species